rnacentral:hammerhead_ribozyme from 1 species
AUCCUACUGACGAGUCCCGAAUAGAACAAAAUGCGCGUCACACUGGAU